rnacentral:rRNA from 1 species
UGGGGAAUUUUGGACAAUGGGCGAAAGCCUGAUCCAGCAAUGCCGCGUGUGUGAAGAAGGCCUUCGGGUUGUAAAGCACUUUUGUCCGGAAAGAAAUCCUUGGCUCUAAUACAGUCGGGGGAUGACGGUACCGGAAGAAUAAGCACCGGCUAACUACGUGCCAGCAGCCGCGGUAAUACGUAGGGUGCAAGCGUUAAUCGGAAUUACUGGGCGUAAAGCGUGCGCAGGCGGUUUGCUAAGACCGAUGUGAAAUCCCCGGGCUCAACCUGGGAACUGCAUUGGUGACUGGCAGGCUAGAGUAUGGCAGAGGGGGGUAGAAUUCCACGUGUAGCAGUGAAAUGCGUAGAGAUGUGGAGGAAUACCGAUGGCGAAGGCAGCCCCCUGGGCCAAUACUGACGCUCAUGCACGAAAGCGU